UACGUAGGGGGCAAGCGUUGUCCGGAAUCAUUGGGCGUAAAGAGCGUGUAGGCGGCCCGGUAAGUCCGCUGUGAAAGUCCAGGGCUCAACCCUGGGAUGCCGGUGGAUACUGUCGGGCUCGAGUCCGGAAGAGGCGAGUGGAAUUCCUGGUGUAGCGGUGAAAUGCGCAGAUAUCAGGAGGAACACCAAUUGCGAAGGCAGCUCGCUGGGACGUAACUGACGCUGAGACGCGAAAGCGUGGGGAGCAAACAGG
rnacentral:rRNA from 1 species